rnacentral:rRNA from 1 species
UACGUAGGGGGCAAGCGUUGUCCGGAUUUACUGGGCGUAAAGAAGCGUGUAGGCGGCCAAGCAGGUCCGUUGUGAAAACUGGAGGCUUAACCUCCAGACGUCGACGGAAAACCGCGCGGCUAGAGUCCGGAAGAGGAAGAGUGGAAUUCCUGGUGUAGCGGUGAAAUGCGCAGAUAUCAGGAAGAACACCAAUGGCGAAGGCAGCUCUCGUGGACGGUACUGACGGCUGAGACGCGAAAGCGUGGGGAGCAAACGGG